UGAUUUGCGUACGAGUCGAGUCCUUGAGCCGGAUCUUUUAAGCGAGUCGACUCGCACGUCUAAUGAGCCAUAUUAUUUUUGCUGAAGAUUUAUCAGUACUUUAGGUUUAUGAUUAACUAAAGACAUUCGACAGAAUACAUUCUGAUUGGUCAGCAUGUCAGUGUUUAUUAACCUUAUAUAAAAGCAGAUCUGAGAGAAGAUCACAGGUCUGUAUUAAUGCGUAUUAAUAUGUUAUUGUUUCUGAAGUAAUUGCUUAUUCUCACGGACGUGUACAGCGGACGCUCUUUAUAUUCAUGAGUAAACGGAUUAAAGGUGUGUGUAGUUGUUGGUAUGUGCUGUUUUGUGUAUGGAGACAUGUAUUUAUGUAUUAUUUAUGGAAGGAGUCUCCAGUGUCAGUGCUUUCUGACAGUCAAAGCUGUAGUUUGAACUUUUCUGACAGGACAGAGGAGUUUGCAGGAAGGCGUGUAACCCCUUUACACCCAGCCCUGAGCUGUGGUUUAUUUAUUUAUUUAUUUUUUAAAAUGUUUUCACCACCUUAACUUGUAUUUGUGUCUGUGCAAUGUUUGUAUCAGUCAUGUGAAUUCUCAUCAACAGUUUGCACAGAUUUAAUCACAGGAUGUUCAUCGUGUGAUGGUCUGAAGCAACGCAGCGUCACGAGGAUAUGACUCUCACUUCCUGUUCUUCCUGCUCAGAAAUGAAUGAGUGUUUCUUUAACCUUUAACACAUCUGUAGCUGAUGAGACGGAGAUGUGGGAAUAGUCGAUGUAAAUGUCAUGUCGGGAAUAGAACACUUGGGGGCGUCGGAGGAAAACGUGCCGCAUUCGAUUGAAACUCGAUUUGUAUUUCAUUAAAGAACACAUCGUAUUCUUUAUCCGUUUGUGUUUUAAUGUUACGUUCUGAUUCGAACUCUCGUCUCGGCUUCAGCUCCACACCAUGGUGUCGUAUAAGAGGCUGACCCCAGAGGAGGUCAACUUCUCCGGCGUGCCUUUACUGCAGUCUCAUGAUGAUUCUCAGGACAGUGAGCUGAAGGUGGAAGAUGCAGAGCGCCCUCUGCUGGCCCGGAGGCCUCAGUGCUCCGUCACUUCUGCCCUGUUGACCCUAGGAGGCUUUAUCCUCGUAGUCCUCGGUGUCUGGUUACUAGGAAACCGUGCUUUGGCUGCGUAGUACCGCUUCCAUAGGAAUCCACCGCCCUCCAUCACCCGGCAAAGACAACCGGACACGACCGGAAUCCUGCUCCGUUAUUCCAGAAUCCUGGAGGUUCGACUGCUAUCCAGAGAGAGGUGUUGUGGUGGACUGAGGAUUUGUGUCACUCCAGGAACUGUUGCUUUGCACGUGCAGCCACUGAGCAGAGCGGUGUCCCGUGGUGCUAUUAUCCAACAGAUUUUCCAUCGUAUACGCUAGCGGCUAUUAACGACACCGAGACGGGAUCGAUCGGGGAAACUGGUCCGUACUCAGAAGACGUAUUAUCCUAUGGAUAUUGAGGUGCUGAGGCUGGAUGUGCUGUACGAGUCGAACAGCAGACUGCGUGUAAAAAUAACAGAUCCCGCACAGCAGAGGUUCGAGGUUCCUAUAGAUGUUCCUGUGGUGGAAAAACGAGCUCCGAAUCCCUUGUACACAGUGGAGUUCUCCAAACAGCCGUUCGGGAUCAUCGUUAAGAGAACACAAACCGGAGCUGUG
ensembl:lncRNA